rnacentral:rRNA from 1 species
UCCUGGCUCAGAUUGAACGCUGGCGGCAGGCCUAACACAUGCAAGUCGAGCGGUAGAGAGAAGCUUGCUUCUCUUGAGAGCGGCGGACGGGUGAGUAAUGCCUAGGAAUCUGCCUGGUAGUGGGGGAUAACGUUCGGAAACGGACGCUAAUACCGCAUACGUCCUACGGGAGAAAGCAGGGGACCUUCGGGCCUUGCGCUAUCAGAUGAGCCUAGGUCGGAUUAGCUAGUUGGUGAGGUAAUGGCUCACCAAGGCGACGAUCCGUAACUGGUCUGAGAGGAUGAUCAGUCACACUGGAACUGAGACGCGGUCCAGACUCCUACGGGAGGCAGCAGUGGGGAAUAUUGGACAAUGGGCGAAAGCCUGAUCCAGCCAUGCCGCGUGUGUGAAGAAGGUCUUCGGAUUGUAAAGCACUUUAAGUUGGGAGGAAGGGCAGUAAAUUAAUACUUUGCUGUUUUGACGUUACCGACAGAAUAAGCACCGGCUAACUCUGUGCCAGCAGCCGCGGUAAUACAGAGGGUGCAAGCGUUAAUCGGAAUUACUGGGCGUAAAGCGCGCGUAGGUGGUUUGUUAAGUUGGAUGUGAAAUCCCCGGGCUCAACCUGGGAACUGCAUUCAAAACUGACUGACUAGAGUAUGGUAGAGGGUGGUGGAAUUUCCUGUGUAGCGGUGAAAUGCGUAGAUAUAGGAAGGAACACCAGUGGCGAAGGCGACCACCUGGACUAAUACUGACACUGAGGUGCGAAAGCGCGGGGAGCAAACAGGAUUAGAUACCCUGGUAGUCCACGCCGUAAACGAUGUCAACUAGCCGUUGGAAGCCUUGAGCUUUUAGUGGCGCAGCUAACGCAUUAAGUUGACCGCCUGGGGAGUACGGCCGCAAGGUUAAAACUCAAAUGAAUUGACGGGGGCCCGCACAAGCGGUGGAGCAUGUGGUUUAAUUCGAAGCAACGCGAAGAACCUUACCAGGCCUUGACAUCCAAUGAACUUUCUAGAGAUAGAUUGGUGCCUUCGGGAACAUUGAGACAGGUGCUGCAUGGCUGUCGUCAGCUCGUGUCGUGAGAUGUUGGGUUAAGUCCCGUAACGAGCGCAACCCUUGUCCUUAGUUACCAGCACGUAAUGGUGGGCACUCUAAGGAGACUGCCGGUGACAAACCGGAGGAAGGUGGGGAUGACGUCAAGUCAUCAUGGCCCUUACGGCCUGGGCUACACACGUGCUACAAUGGUCGGUACAGAGGGUUGCCAAGCCGCGAGGUGGAGCUAAUCCCAUAAAACCGAUCGUAGUCCGGAUCGCAGUCUGCAACUCGACUGCGUGAAGUCGGAAUCGCUAGUAAUCGCGAAUCAGAAUGUCGCGGUGAAUACGUUCCCGGGCCUUGUACUCACCGCCCGUC